UCUGUGAUGCCCCCAAGGGGACUAGAUUACAAGUACUCCUGGACACAGCUCUUUGAAGGCCUUUUCUGAAGCCUCCUCAGUGGCCUCUAGUGACUUGGUUUGCCUGCACAGUUCUGCUUAGAAUCCAAGAAUACUGCAUGAGACAACUUGGAAGCUGGGCUCUGGACAACAGGAUGUACUCCCUGAGCUCAGCCUGUUACUGUGGCAGCAGCUCCACGCCAUUCAAGUCCACCAGAUCUCUUGAUUGCAUCCUUCCUUCUUUGCUGGACUCAGUCUUCUGUCGCUUCACUCAUCACAACUCUGGAAGCAACAGGUUUUGUCCCACAUAACCAACAUAGACCAGGUCUGUCUGGGGAAGGAAGCCUAUGCCUGAAUCCUGCUCAACACUUGGACGGCAUCCAUGGGAGCUUUUGAUAGAGGUUAAGGAGGCUUUAAAUAUAGUAACAGCUGAUUGAAGAAAUGCUCCCCCAACCUUUUCUUCACCUACCAGAGCUUUAACAGAAAGACGUGAUAUUGGGUCUUGGACAUGAGACAUCCUCGGCCUUCAGGUGCCCACGUGGCCCUUGGGGAAUCCAUCCUGCUUCGUCUCCUUCAGCGUACACUCCUCGCUCAAGGACCCCGAGGGAGCAGAGAGGUCAUGAGAUGCUCCUAGACAAAGAGACCACUGUGCUCACCCUGCUGAGGGUCACCCCGGAGUUGCCCAUAGGUGGUGGGGGUUUGGGGUGCUGUGAGACUUGUGAUCUGCCCAGAUGCAGCCUAUUGCCUCACUGUGCCUGUCCCUGCUCGUCAUCAGCCCUGAAGCUACAGAAUGCUUGGGUAGCAAGGACCCAGAGCAGGAGGAGAUGCCAAUAGAGUGAAGGGGCUGUGUCAUCAGCUCUGCAUCACCAUGGGCUGACACCAGACCCUAGAAGGAGUACCAGGCGGAGAAGUCACACCUCUGUUUUCUGCAGGGAACUGGAAGUAGUAAAAAACCAGGGCAAAGAACUAAAUCAGCAAGCAGAAACCUCAAAACAUAAAAAUGCAACAAGCAGCUAUGAGCUCACUUGAUGCGUUUGCCAGUGGCUUGCGCAAAGGGGAGGGGUGAGAUAUUCUAGGGACCAAAAGGAAGGUCACCCAGGAAACCCAGAAAAUGCAAACGGUGGGAAUACAGAAGCUGUUUUAAAAGACAUGUGGCAAGAAUACGAAGGUCAAAAGGCUCUUAUCUGGAACAGGAAAGAUGGCUCAGCAGUUAAGAGCACUGGCUGCCCUUGCAAAGGACCUAGGUUUUCUCUUCAGCACCCACACAGCAGCUCACAAUGGUCUGUAACUCCAGUCCCAGGGAAUCCAGCGCCACCUUCUGGGCUCCAUAGGUACUGCAUGGACAUGAUAUACAAAUAGGCAUGUAGGCAAGAUACCCAUACACAUAAAAUGAAAAUAACUUUUAAAAGACUUGUGUCUGAAGUCCUGAAAAAAUUAAUAAAUAAUAUGAAUGUGCAGUAGCGGCUACCAGAGUUACUGUGAGAAAAUUUCCACAAUGCUGAUGAAGAUAGACUCACGAAGUCUAGAAAUUGCAAUGCAAACAAUUAAAGGGAAAAUAGUUACUUAAAUCUCUUAUCAAUCCAUCUAUCUAUCUAUCUAUCUAUCUAUCUAUCUAUCUAUCUAUCUAUCUAUCUAUCUAUCUAUCUAUCUAUCUAUCUAUCCAUCCAUCCAUCCAUCCAUCCAUCCAUCUAUCUAUCUAUCUAUCUAUCUAUCUAUCCACCCAUCUUUCUAUCGAUCUAUCUAUUGAUCUAUUGAUCGAUCUAUCUAUUGAUCUAUCUAUCCAUCUAUCAUAUAUCAUCUAUGUAUGUAUCUAUAUAUCAUUUAUGUAUGUAUGUAUUUAUCUACUAUCUUCCAUCUAUGUAUCUAUCUCUAUGAUCUAUCUAUUUAUCUAUAAUCAUCACCAUCUAACAAUCUGCAUGUAUGUUAUGUAUGUAUAUUUUUAUCAUUGUUUAUUAGGUCUUUGAGAAUAUUGUAACAAAAAUUCAUGAAACAAGGGAGAAAAGCUUCAGGGAAAAAUAUAUAGUGACACUAGAUACCUUGGCAUCUAGAUGGAUACCAACUAUGGAAGUCAAAAGAUAAAUGAGAUGUUUAUAAUCCAGGCAAAGAAAAUAAUUGCUAAUUUGUUUCUACUCAGACAAGCAAACUUCAAAGACGGAAGGUAAAGUGCUUACAUUUCCACAGAAAAAUUGAUGAUAUUUACAACAAAUAGAUUUUAUCAUUACAAUAAAGUCAUAGGCAUCCUUCGAGCAAAAAUAAUAGUAGAAACAAAAAGUAGAAUUGCUGGGAAACGGACAGUGGAAAUAGGCGGACAUUCAUAUGUGAAUGAGUUACCCACUGAAGAUUUAUAUACAUUCAUAGAUUAGGAUCACUGUGUGAAUAGAGCCUAUAUGUAAGAAAUAAAAUAAUUUUUAUGAAA